AUGCUUAACACAUGCAAGUCGAACGAGAAAGCUCCUUCGGGAGUGAGUAGAGUGGCGCACGGGUGAGUAACACGUAGAUAACCUACCCUUCAGUCUGGGACAACCCUUCGAAAGGAGGGCUAAUACUGGAUAAUACUUGAUGUUGAGUGGCAUUGAGUUGAAAGAUUUAUUGCUGAAGGAUGGGUCUGCGCACCAUUAGCUAGUUGGUGGGGUAAUUGCCUACCAAGGCGACGAUGGUUAGCGGGUCUGAGAGGAUGAUCCGCCACACUGGAACUGAGACACGGUCCAGACUCCUACGGGAGGCAGCAGUGGGGAAUUUUGCGCAAUGGGCUAACGCCUGACGCAGCAAUACCGCGUGAGUGAAGAAGGCCUUUGGGUCGUAAAGCUCUUUUCUAUGGGAAGAUAGUGACGGUACCAUAGGAAUAAGCACCGGCUAACUCCGUGCCAGCAGCCGCGGUAAUACGGAGGGUGCGAGCGUUGUUCGGAUUUACUGGGCGUAAAGGGCACGUAGGCGGCAUAGCAAGUUAAGGGUGAAAUCCCGGGGCUUAACUCCGGAACUGCUCUUAAAACUGUUAAGCUAGAGAUAGUCAGAGGCGGGUGGAAUUCCUGGUGUAGAGGUGAAAUUCGUAGAUAUCAGGAGGAACACCGGUGGCGAAGGCGGCCCGCUGGGGCUAUUCUGACGCUGAGGUGCGAAAGCGUGGGGAGCGAACGGGAUUAGAUACCCCGGUAGUCCACGCCGUAAACGAUGAAUACCGGCUGUUUGAGGCAUCGACACCUCAAGUGGCGCAGCUAACGCGUUGAGUAUUCCGCCUGGGGAGUACGGUCGCAAGACUAAAACUCAAAGGAAUUGACGGGGGCCCGCACAAGCGGUGGAGCAUGUGGUU
rnacentral:rRNA from 1 species